GACGAACGCUGGCGGCGUGCUUAACACAUGCAAGUCGAGCGGUAAGGCUCCUUCGGGAGUACACGAGCGGCGAACGGGUGAGUAACACGUGAGCAAUCUGCCCUUCACACGGGGAUAACCCUCGGAAACGAGAGCUAAUACCCGAUACGACCACUUCAGGCAUCUGAUGGUGGUGGAAAGUUCCGGCGGUGAAGGAUGAGCUCGCGGCCUAUCAGCUUGUUGGUGGGGUAAUGGCCCACCAAGGCAACGACGGGUAGCCGGCCUGAGAGGGUGACCGGCCACACUGGGACUGAGACACGGCCCAGACUCCUACGGGAGGCAGCAGUGGGGAAUAUUGCACAAUGGGCGGAAGCCUGAUGCAGCAACGCCGCGUGGGGGAUGACGGCCUUCGGGUUGUAAACCUCUUUUAGCAGGGAAGAAGCGUGAGUGACGGUACCUGCAGAAAAAGCGCCGGCUAACUACGUGCCAGCAGCCGCCGUAAUAC
rnacentral:rRNA from 1 species